rnacentral:misc_RNA from 1 species
AACGCAUAUUGCACUCCUUUGGAGUAUGCCUGUUUGAGAAUCUAUAGUAUUCUUUUUUCGAUAGUUCUCUAUGAGAGCUGACGAAGAGAUAUGAAGUGUCCCUAUCUCUGGUAGGGUACUUUGAAAUAGAUUGCUAUGCUUUGGUAGUGAAUGCUUGACGUUCCUUACUACUCUGCAGAACAGUAUGUGAAUGGAACCUUGGUUUCUCAUAAUGCCUAUUACGCAGGGAAGGGACUUAGUUUGCUACUGUAGUCGUAGUUCAUAACCAUAAAGCUGGACAAGGCCUUCGGGACGAAUCCAUCUUGAACCAUGGUCUCAAAUCAGGUAGGAAGACCCGCUGAACUUAA